UACGGAGGAUGCAAGCGUUAUCCGGAUUUAUUGGGUUUAAAGGGUGCGCAGGUUGUUUGAUAAGUCAGUGGUGAAAGUCUGUCGCUUAACGGUAGGAUUGCCAUUGAUACUGUUAGACUUGAAUAUGGAUGAGGUAGGCGGAAUGUGUAGUGUAGCGGUGAAAUGCUUAGAUAUUACACAGAACACCGAUUGCGAAGGCAGCUUACUAAUCCAUCAUUGACGCUGAGGCACGAAAGCGUGGGGAUCAAACAGGA
rnacentral:rRNA from 1 species